GACGAACGCUGGCGGCGUGCUUAACACAUGCAAGUCGAACGGAAAGGCCCUGCUUUUGUGGGGUGCUCGAGUGGCGAACGGGUGAGUAACACGUGAGUAACCUGCCCUUGACUUUGGGAUAACUUCAGGAAACUGGGGCUAAUACCGGAUAGGAGCUCCUGCUGCAUGGUGGGGGUUGGAAAGUUUCGGCGGUUGGGGAUGGACUCGCGGCUUAUCAGCUUGUUGGUGGGGUAGUGGCUUACCAAGGCUUUGACGGGUAGCCGGCCUGAGAGGGUGACCGGCCACCUUGGGACUGAGAUACGCGCCAGACUCCUACGGGAGGCAGCAGUGGGGAAUAUUGCACAAUGGGCGGAAGCCUGAUGCAGCAACGCCGCGUGCGGGAUGACGGCCUUCGGGUUGUAAACCGCUUUCGCCUGUGACGAAGCGUGAGUGACGGUAAUGGGUAAAGAAGCACCGGCUAACUACGUG
rnacentral:rRNA from 1 species